GUGAUUGGUUUAAAGAAAUGCCAAUAAACUAGAGCACGUUUUUCUCCCAUCCCAGAAGGCUUUGUGGACUAGCUAGACACUCAUUCGCAGUGCUGUGGAGGAAGGUCUGUCAAAGCAAUGACUAGUCUAAAACUUACUUUG